ensembl:lncRNA
CACAGAAAGGUUGCCUCACAUGAGGCAGGAGACCAGAGAGGAAAUGGAGCAACCCCAUCUGAGAAUGUCCUGCCAGCUCAGAAGCACCAAGCAUCCACCGGGUGUCAACUUACCAUUAAUGACACUUUUAGAACUGCGCUGUGAAACCAACCCGGGGAAGCACUGUCAUCAUGAGAAUUCACUUAUUUAUACCCUGUCCUCUCAUAGCGGCAGCCAUACCUGAUUUCAUAUGUAAGGAUUUCAGAUGGAGAGUGUUGAUUAAAGGUCGCCAUGGUGACCACACAUUUGUGUCUCCAUGGUGACACUCACAAAUGGGAAAGACCCUUAAUUUUAAUUUUAUUUAAGGUUCCAAAAGAUGUUUUCUCCUCAGACUGCAUAAUAUAACAAGGCUAAGCGGAUCUUGCUCUCUGCUGCACUUGUUCUUGGGAAAGCAAAGGGAGAAGAAGGCCUUCAACUGAUGGAUGAGGCUGCCCACAUCGUCAAGCAUAAUCUUCACUUAAAGUCAAUUAAAGUCAAAGACACCAGCCAUAUCUGCAGACCACCUGAAUUAGUGAACAAGCCUCGAGCAUCCAAGGAGCUUGUUUGGUGCAACCGUCAAGGCUGAG